UCAGUUCAAGCAACCACCACCCCUCCAAAAGCUCCUCUUACCCAACCUGUGAUUUCUUUUGCACCUCUGAAAACUACUGAAGAAGAUAGCAAAAAAGCAGCAGCAGCUGCCGUUGCUGCUAAGCUCGCUGCCUCUACAUCCUCCGCACAGAUGCUUACCUCUGUGCUCUCUUCCCUUGUUGCAGAAGAAGCUGCCUCAAACGGUGGUUUAAAAUCAUCUGGAUUUGCCUCCAUUUUUAGUCCAGAAAAAAGGCCCAGGCUUGAGAAGCCGAUGCCUAUUUCUGAUGGUAACAAUUC
rnacentral:lncRNA from 1 species